rnacentral:ncRNA from 1 species
CUAGUCUGCAUACCGUCACUGCAAAUUCAGUGAUCGGUUUUGACAGACCGAAAC